rnacentral:rRNA from 1 species
AGUUCGAUCCGUGGCACGAGACACGCUGGCGGCGUGCCGUAACACAUGCAAGGUCGAACGGAGCUAGAUGCUGAGGACGUAGCGUUGCUAUUGAAUCUUGUUUAGCUUAGUGGCGACGGGUGAGUAACGCGUGAGCAACCUACCUUUCAGAGGGGGAUAACGUUUGGAAACGAACGCUAAUACCGCAUGAUAUUAUUGGGCAGCAUUGCCUGAUAAUCUAAAGGAGCAAUCCGCUGAAAGAUGGGCUCGCGUCCGAUUAGGAGUUGGCGGGGUAACGGCCCACCAAGCCGACGAUCGGUAGCCGGACUGAGAGGUUGAACGGCCACAUUGGGACUGAGACACGGCCCAGACUCCUACGGGAGGCAGCAGGUGAGGGAUAUUGGGUCAAUGGGGGAAACCCUGGAACCAGCAACGCCGCGUGAGGGAAGACGGUUUUCGGAUUGUAAACCUCUGUCCUCUGUGAAGAUGAUGACGGUAGCAGAGGAGGAAGCUCCGGCUAACUACGUG